rnacentral:rRNA from 1 species
AAACUUUCAACAACGGAUCUCUUGGUUCUGGCAUCGAUGAAGAACGCAGCGAAAUGCGAUAAGUAGUGUGAAUUGCAGAAUUCAGUGAAUCAUCGAAUCUUUGAACGCACAUUGCGCCCUUUGGUAUUCCUUUGGGCACGCCUGUUCGAGCGUCAUUU